rnacentral:rRNA from 1 species
AUUGAACGCUAGCGGGAUGCUUUACACAUGCAAGUCGAACGAGUGGCGGACGGGUGAGUUAUAUAUCGGAACGUGCCCAGGAGCGGGGGAUAACUACUCGAAAGAGUGGCUAAUCCCGCAUACUAUUGGAGCGGCCGAUAUCGGAUUAGCGAGUGGGUGGGGAAAGGGCUCACCAAGGCAACGAUCCGUAGGUGGUGUGAGAGGACGACCAGCCACACUGGGACUGAGACACGGCCCAGACUCCUACGGGAGGCAGCAGUGGGGAAUUUUGCACAAUGGGGGAAACCCUGAUUCAGCCAUCCCGCGUGUAUGAGAAGGCCCUCGGGUUGUAAAGUACUUUUGGCAGAGAAGCGGUAUCGGCAGAAUAAGCACCGGCUAACUCCGUGCCAGCAGCCGCGGUAAUUC